UUUGAGGUGGACACGUGGUGCAGU
rnacentral:miRNA from 1 species